rnacentral:rRNA from 1 species
GAGUUUGAUCCUGGCUCAGAUUGAACGCUGGCGGCAGGCCUAACACAUGCAAGUCGAGCGGUAGAGAGAAGCUUGCUUCUCUUGAGAGCGGCGGACGGGUGAGUAAUGCCUAGGAAUCUGCCUGGUAGUGGGGGAUAACGGCUCGGAAACGGACGCUAAUACCGCAUACGUCCUACGGGAGAAAGCAGGGGACCUUCGGGCCUUGCGCUAUCAGAUGAGCCUAGGUCGGAUUAGCUAGUUGGUGAGGUAAUGGCUCACCAAGGCGACGAUCCGUAACUGGUCUGAGAGGAUGAUCAGUCACACUGGAACUGAGACACGGUCCAGACUCCUACGGGAGGCGAGCAGUGGGGAAUAGUUGGACAAGUGGGCGAAAGCCUGAUCCAGCCAUGCCGCGUGUGUGAAGAAGGUCUUCGGAUUGUAAAGC